CCAAUAGCGCAUAUUAAAGUUGUUGCAGUUAAAAAGCUCGUAGUUGAAUUUCGGGAUCAAGGGAUCGGUCAUGCCUUGGUAUGUACUGGUCUUAUUGGUUCUCACCUUCUAAAGAACCAUGAUGUCAUUCAUUUGAUGUUAUGGGGAAUUAGGACUGUUACCUUGAAAAAAUUAGAGUGUUUAAAGCAAGCUUACGCUUGAAUACAUUAGCAUGGAAUAAUGAAAUAGGACAUCAGAUUCUAUUUUGUUGGUUUCUAGGAUCGAUGUAAUUAUUAAUAGGGAUAGUUGGGGGCAUUAGUAUUCAAUUGUCAGAGGUGAAAUUCUUGGAUUUAUUGAAGACUAACUACUGCGAAAGCAUUAGCCAAGGAUGUUUUCAUUAAUCAAGAACGAAAGUUAGGGGAUCGAAGACGAUCAGAUACCGUCGUAGUCUUAACCAUAAACUAUGCCGACUAGGGAUCGGAUGAUGUUAAUUUUUUAAUGACUCAUUCGGCACCUUACG
rnacentral:rRNA from 1 species